rnacentral:rRNA from 1 species
AUGUCAGGCAACCAUCAGCGCUGGCAGCCGUGUGACAGGUCGGGGCAACUUCAAGAGCUGGGAUCUCCAACUGUACAGCGGCAACGGGAGCUUGGGAGGAAUCCGCUGCACCUCCCAGUUGCCCCUGCCUCCUGGGAUCGAGCAACCACAGCUGCCGCCUCUCUGCAGGCCAAGUUCAACAACGGUGGUGGCCAGGUGCACCCCGUGAACAGUUGGGAGGCAUAUGUGGCUAGAACCCCUGCUAUUGAUUUCUCUGCUCUGCAAGGUACGCCUCUUAAAAUCUGCUUAGGGUCGGGAGCGCAGUUGGGUCCGGAUCUUUCCGACAGGAGCACACAGGAGGAUGGGCUCUCUGGAGGGGAUCUUGUCAAUGCCAUUGUAUCACGUGUGUCCUCCCUCCCAUCCGAUCUGCAGCAGCGGUUUGUUGCACGGGUUGCUGCUCUUCUAUCCCCGUCUCUGCUAGGUGUGCCGUCUACAGAGCCAGCAGGAGGGCAGACCAAGAGGAAGCUAUUUGCUUCCAGGACCAAGAUUCCCAAGAGCUCCCGUCAAGCUGUGGCUGGACACUCAUUCAUGACCUCCAGGAAAUCUCAAGCUCAGUUCUGUGUUCGCCUGGGCCUGAUCAAGAACGUUAAGGAGUUCAACGAUGACACCCUGAAGCUGUACCUAAGCUUCUUCAAAAACCCCGUGCCACAGCCUCUCCUCGCCAAGCUUGCUGAAGUUGCCAGAUGA